CCUCCUUUUCUUGGCGCGGGUCGGGCGUGCAGUCCCGUUCCGCGUAAUGUACGGAGGUAGAGAGAACGCGCUCUGGCCCCCUCGGCGUCACGUCUUCGGCACCGGCGCCGGCCCGCCA
rnacentral:snoRNA from 1 species